rnacentral:rRNA from 1 species
UACGGAGGGAGCUAGCGUUGUUCGGAAUUACUGGGCGUAAAGCGCGCGUAGGCGGCUUUGUAAGUUAGAGGUGAAAGCCCGGAGCUCAACUCCGGAACUGCCUUUAAAACUGCAUCGCUUGAAUCCAGGAGAGGUGAGUGGAAUUCCGAGUGUAGAGGUGAAAUUCGUAGAUAUUAGGAAGAACACCAGUGGCGAAGGCGGCUCACUGGUCCGGUACUGACGCUGAGGUGCGAAAGCGUGGGGAGCAAACAGG